rnacentral:lncRNA from 1 species
AAAGAAUCAAACAUAGUCAAAAUAUGAAUUCAAACCUAUCCUAUACGAACAAUGGAGUCUCUAUAGCCAUUAACACCACAUUUCUUUUCAUCUAUAACUCGUACAUCUUCGUUUCCUUCUCCAUCAACUUGUCUUAUUUAUGGCCUGAUAAAAUAAAAAAUUGAAGCAAUAAAAUAUACAUUCCCGCAAAAUUCAAAUACUAAUAUUUCUAAAAGCUAACAAGAAAUGUCUUUUAUAAUCACAAACUUAUGCAAAUCAGUUUACUAGAUAGGAACGAUGAUAAUACAUAAGAAUAUAGAUGCAUUCACUUCGGGAAAAAAUAAAUGAAAUUAAUGCAUGAACUAACUCAAGGAUCAAAGUGGGAAAAAAGUUUACCACAACGGAAGUAGCAAUCAGUUCAUCCAUAUCAAAAUAUGAUAAUCCAAUCAUUUUGUAAGCUGCAACAUAAAAAUGGACAACAUCUAUAGAGACAAGCAAUCAAAGUUAUGCACACAAUACAUAGAAUGUUAAGUAAACUUACAUUAAUAAUCAACAAUAACAAUUUACAUAAACUGUAAAUGUUGCAUGCUACUGCCACUGCCUAGACAACCUGUCUAAAAGAAUCUGAGAAAGCAAAUAUAGUAGUUAAUCAAGAUAUCAAUAAAAAUAUCACAUCAUAAAUUAAAGAUGUAAAUGGCUGAUAUUUUACAAAUCAUACCCGAUGAACAAUUCGAUGUACCAAUAAUAAAAUGAUAUAAUAAAAAAUAUAUAGCAUUUUCGAUACAAUUUUAUCCAUUUUAUUGGAGUUGAACAUAUAAUUGUAAUAUUAUGACUAGAUAGGCAAGCAAUAAUUUACCCGAGUGGCUUUCUACUUCAGCAACAUACAUUUGCAUCUUCUAAGUGUCCCUUAUAUUUGGCAUAUGUAAGUCACCUCAACUCUUGAGUCCUAAAAGUCAGUAAUUCGGUUAGUAAUGAAAAAAUAAUAUGUACAACCAACUAACAAAUUUGUUUGCUUCUGUGGAAACAUGUGAUAAAAUAAAGUUGUAGAGUGAAAUAUAUAAUAUAAGGGUGAAAUAUAAGUUUUACGUCACAAUAUUUUGCAGCUUAUUUGCAAUACAAGAAUGAGCAAAUUAAGAAGAACAUAGUCCUUACCUUGAAUCUUGACGUUCCCAGCAGUUUGAAUUUUAUUUGCAUCAGACAUUGAUACCUGUCCAUGAACAAGUAAAUUGGAUCAUAGAAUUUAAUCAACACAAGAAUAAUAAUCUAAAUAUUAAAAAUAUUUUAAAGUUAGCUAUUGAAUCCAUUCAUCAUUAC